rnacentral:rRNA from 1 species
UACAGAGGUGGGCAAGCGUUGUUCGGAAUUACUGGGCGUAAAGGGCGCGUAGGCGGCCUUCUAAGUCAGACGUGAAAUCCCCCGGCUUAACCUGGGAACUGCGUCUGAUACUGGGAGGCUUGAGUAUGGGAGAGGGAUGUAGAAUUCCAGGUGUAGCGGUGAAAUGCGUAGAUAUCUGGAGGAAUACCGGUGGCGAAGGCGGCAUCCUGGACCAUUACUGAACGCGUGAGGCGGCGAAAAGCUAGGGGAGCAAACGGG